CUCACCUUAGCUCAGAUGGAAGAGCGCCGGAUUACGAAUCCGAGGGCCGAUGGUUCGAACCCAUCAGGUGGGU
rnacentral:tRNA from 1 species